UUUAAAGUCUAGCCUGCCCCAAUGAAGAUUUUAAUGGCCGCGGUAUAUUGACCGUGCAAAGGUAGCAUAAUAAUUAGUUUUUUAAUUGGAAGCUGGAAUGAACGGCUGGACGAGAAAGCAACUGUCUCCGGUUGAUUUAUAGAAUUUUAUUUUUAAGUGAAAAAGCUUAAAUUAUUUUAAAAGACGAGAAGACCCUAUAGAGUUUUAUAUUUUAUUAUUUAGUAGUUUCUAAGAAGUUUCUUAAUUAUUAUAUAAUAAGGUAUUUUGUUGGGGUGACAAAAAAAUUGGUAUAACUUUUUCUUUUUUUAUUCACUUAUUUGUGGGUAGUUGAUCCGUUUUUGGCGAUUAUAAGACUAAAUUACCUUAGGGAUAACAGCGUAAUUUUCUUUUAGAGUUCUUAUCGAAAGGAAAGCUUGCGACCUCGAUGUUGGAUUAAAAUUAAUGCUCGGGGCAGUGGCUGAGCUAUUAGGUCUGUUCGACCUUUGAAAUUUUACA
rnacentral:rRNA from 1 species